UACGGAGGGUGCAAGCGUUGUCCGGAUUUAUUGGGUUUAAAGGGUGCGUAGGCGGCCUAUUAAGUCAGUGGUGAAAGCCUCCAGCUCAACUGGAGAACUGCCAUUGAUACUGAUAGGCUUGAGUACAGACGAGGUAGGCGGAAUUGAUUGUGUAGCGGUGAAAUGCAUAGAUACAAUCAAGAACACCGAUUGCGUAGGCAGCUUACUAGGCUGUAACUGACGCUGAGGCACGAAAGCGUGGGGAGCGAACAGG
rnacentral:rRNA from 1 species